rnacentral:rRNA from 3 species
UUAAGCGACUAAGCGUACACGGUGGAUGCCCUGGCAGUCAGAGGCGAUGAAGGACGUGCUAAUCUGCGAUAAGCGUCGGUAAGGUGAUAUGAACCGUUAUAACCGGCGAUUUCCGAAUGGGGAAACCCAGUGUGAUUCGUCACACUAUCAUUAACUGAAUCCAUAGGUUAAUGAGGCGAACCGGGGGAACUGAAACAUCUAAGUACCCCGAGGAAAAGAAAUCAACCGAGAUUCCCCCAGUAGCGGCGAGCGAACGGGGAGGAGCCCAGAGCCUGAAUCAGUGUGUGUGUUAGUGGAAGCGUCUGGAAAGGCGCGCGAUACAGGG